rnacentral:rRNA from 1 species
UGCCGCGUGCAGGAUGAAGGCCUUCGGGUUGUAAACUGCUUUUGUACCGAACGAAAAGCCUUUCUCUAAUAAAGGGGGGUCAUGACGGUACCGUAAGAAUAAGCACCGGCCAACUACAUGCCAGCACCCACGGUAAUACGUAAGGUGCGAGCGUUAAUCGGAAUUACUGGGCGUAAAGCGUGCGCAGGCGGUGAUGUAAGACAGUUGUGAAAUCCCCGGGCUCAACCUGGGAACUGCAUCUGUGACUGCAUCGCUGGAGUGCGGGGUAGGGGGAUGGAAUUCCGCGUGUAGCAGUGAAAUGCGUAGAUAUGCGGAGGAACACCGAUGGCGAACGGAUCCCCUGGGCCUGCACUGACGCUCAUGCACGAAAGCGUGGGGAGCAAACAGGAUUAGAUACCCUGGUAGUCCACGCCCUAAACGAUGUCUCCUGGUUGUUGGGUCUUCACUGACUCAAUAACGAACCUCACGCGUGAAGUUGACCGCCUGGGGAGUACGGCCGCAAGGUUGAAACUCACAGGAAUUGACGGGGACCCGCACAAACGGUGGAUGAUGUGGUUUAAUUCGAUGCAACGCGUAUAACCUUACCCACCUUUGACAUGUACUGAACUUGCCAGAGAUGGCU